rnacentral:rRNA from 1 species
CCUACGGGUGGCAGCAGUGGGGGAUAUUGCACAAUGGGGGAAACCCUGAUGCAGUGACGCCGCGUGAGUGAAGAAGUAUUUCGGUAUGUAAAGCUCUAUCAGCAGGGAAGAAAAUGACAGUACCUGACCAAGAAGCCCCGGCUAACUACGUGCCAGCAGCCGCGGUAUUCCGUAGGGGGCAAGCGGUAUCCGGAUUUAUUGGGGGUAAAGGGAGCGUAGACGGGUCUUUAAGUCUGGAGUGAAAGCCCGGGGCCCAACCCCGGGACUGCUUUGGAAACUGUGUAACUGGAGUACAGGAGGGGAAGGCGGAAUUCCUGGUGUAGCGGUGAAAUGCGUAGAUAUCAGGAGGAACACCGGUGGCGAAGGCGGCCUGCUGGCCUGAAACUGACGUUGAGGCUCGAAAGCGUGGGGAGCAAACAGGAUUAGAUACCCUGGUAGUC